rnacentral:rRNA from 1 species
GGGACACGUGAAACCCUGUGGGAAGCAGGAGGGACCACCCUCCAAGGCUAAAUACUACCUAGUGACCGAUAGCGUAUAGUACCGUGAGGGAAAGGUGAAAAGAACCCCGGGAGGGGAGUGAAAUAGAACCUGAAACCCUGCACUUACAAGCUGUGGAAGCACAUUUCUUGUGUGACCGCGUACUUUUUGUAGAACGGGCCAACGAGUUACGUUAAGUAGCAAGGUUAAGCACUUAAGGUGCGGAGCCGUAGCGAAAGCGAGUUUUAACUGAGCGUUCAGUUACUUGACGUAGACCCGAAACCGGGCGACCUACCCAUGAGCAGGAUGAAGCGAAAGUAAAAUUUCGUGGAGGUCCGAACCCACGAGCGUUGAAAAGCUCGGGGAUGACUUGUGGGUAGCGGUGAAAUUCCAAUCGAGCCCGGAGAUAGCUGGUUCUCCCCGAAAUAGCUUUAGGGCUAGCCUCAAGGUGAGAGAUACGGAGGUAGAGCACUGAAUGUCCUAGGGGGUAUUGCACCUACCGAAGACUAUCAAACUCCGAAUGCCGUCAUCUUAUACUUGGGAGUCAGACUGUGGGUGAUAAGAUUCAUAGUCGAAAGGGCAACAGCCCAGAUCGUCAGCUAAGGUCCCUAAAUGUAAGUUAAGUGGUAAAGGAUGUGGGAUUGCACAGACAACCAGGAUGUUGGCUUAGAAGCAGCCACUCAUUCAAAGAGUGCGUAAUAGCUCACUGGUCGAGUGAUCCUGCGCCGAAGAUUUCCGGGGCUAAAACUU